UACCUCAAUGGGCAGGUUCUCAGGACUGAAUGCUUGGGAAAUCGGAGAGCUCGUAUCCUACACAGAGAAGUAGCUCUUCGUUGUUACUUUCUCAGUGACCCAGCUCAGCUUCACUAACGCUUCAGGCGUGGUUAUUUUCUUCUACUAGGGAAAGGGUUGUGCUCGGUAGAGGAAGAACGUGUUGAUUCACGCCAUCCACCAGGUGAAGUACGAGAUUUCACGCUCUUAUGAGAAAGUUGAUGAGACGCUAAAGCUUAUUCUUAAACAGGAAGUAGUUGGAUUGUUCUUUGGAGGUCUACAUGCAGGUUCUCAGGACUGAAUGCUUGAGAAAUAGGAGAGCUCGUAUCCUACACAGAGAAGUAGCUCUUCGUUGUUACUUCCUCAGUGACCCAGCUCAGCUUCACUUACACUUCAGGCGUGGUUAUUUUCUUCUACUAGGGAAAGGGUUGUGCUCGGUUGAGGAAGAACGUGUUUAU